rnacentral:lncRNA from 1 species
GGAGAAGAUGAAGCACUUCUUAUUGCUUGUGUCUACGGCCUUGUUCACAACAGAUUCUUCUAAUUGCUUGGAAUCUGAUCUUCCAUUUUGCAAGCAAAUUACAGAUUGGCAUGGCGAACUGACUUGCUACACAGAGAGAAAAAUAAGUCUAUUUUGCUCCUGGUUGCCUGUCCCCUGUGCUCCAAAAACUACUACUUAUACAAUAAUUUUAAAGUGGGAUAAAAUCUCAAAACCUUUUGCAAGAACUACAGCAUCAACGUCCAUCACAAUAGAACGAAAAUUCCUUUACAUGAAUCGUGCUGUAAUUAUUUGGGUAUCAGCAAAUUACUCCCAUGAGAGCUGUGUGAAAACAAAGAACAUCUCCAUUAUACCCAGCAAGGCAGAGAAGUGUGCUAUACACUCCAUAAGUGCUCACCAGUUAUCAAACAAAUUAAUAAUUAAGUGGGACGCACCAAAAAAGUCUAUGCAAUAUGAACUGCAAUAUAAAGAAGCACGUCCAACAUCCUCACAGUGGAUAUUGGUGCCCACAGCAAACGAUGCUGUCAAUGUGACUGUCUCCGAUUUAAACAGUACAUCUUCAUAUGUUAUUCAGCUCAGAUGCUUACCCAGUGAGGAUCACCACUGCGUUUGUGUUUGGAGUAAAGAGAUUUUAGUCCCUCAUAAGCUGAUUGACAAGCCAACAAUUUCAGCAAAUGAAACCAUAGAAAUCUCUCCAGGAAGAAUAAAUGUUUUUCUUCAGUGGCAGAUAACACAAAGCAGGAAUGCCAUUGGAUACUAUGUUAAUAUUGAAAGAAUACCCAACAGUUGCAAUGAUCGACCCGAACGCAUCAACGUAACCGAGAGAAGAGUGCAUCUGAAUCUCUCCAUGGCUUAUUAUCGGUUUAAUAUUUCUGCCUAUAAUGAAGCAGGAGAAUCUCCACAGAUCACUUAUGUUGUCCCAGAUUUCACCGCAACAGGUACUUUAUAACUUAUUCCAGAUAGGUGAAGAAACAUUCUUUUGUGGGCAAUGUUGCCUUGUGAUAGCAACAGUUUGGGAA